rnacentral:rRNA from 1 species
UACGGAGGGUGCAAGCAUUGAUCGGAAUUACUGGGUGUAAAGGGCGCGUAGGCGUCCGUAAAAGUCGGAUGUGAAAUUCCGGGGCUCAACCCCGGAGCUGCAUUUGAAACUUUAUGGAUUGAGGUUAGCAAGGGAAAACGGAAUUCCACAUGUAGCGGUGAAAUGCGUAGAUAUGUGGAAGAACACCGGUGGUGAAGACGGUUUUCUGUGCUAAACCUGACGCUGAGGCGCGAAAGCUAGGGGAGCAAACAGG